rnacentral:misc_RNA from 1 species
GAUGAAGAACGUAGCGAAAUGCGAUAAGUAAUGUGAAUUGCAGAAUUCAGUGAAUCAUCGAAUCUUUGAACGCACAUUGCGCCCGCCAGUAUUCUGGCGGGCAUGCCUGUUCGAGCGUCAUUUCAACCCUCAGGCCCCCAGUGCCUGGUGUUGGGGAUCGGCCCAGCCUUCCUGUAAGGCCGCCGGCCCCGAAAUCUAGUGGCGGUCUCGCUGUAGUCCUCCUCUGCGUAGUAGCACAACCUCGCAGUUGGAACGCGGCGGUGGCCAUGCCGUUAAACACCCCACUUCUGAAAGUUGACCUCGGAUCAGGUAGGAAUACCCGCUGAACUUAAGCAUAUCAAUAAGAGGAGGA